GGCGGCGUGCCUAAACAUGCAAGUCGUGCGAGAAAGCUCCUUCGGGAGUGAGUAAAGCGGCACACGGGUGAGUAAUGCAUGGGUAACCUGCCUUCGAGUGGGGGAUAACCUCGGGAAACCGGGGCUAAUACCGCAUGACAAGCUUCCGUCCUCGGGUGGAAGCUUCAAAGCCGGCCUAUCCUUGGAAGCUGGCGCUUGAAGAGGGGCCCAUGUCCCAUUAGCUAGUUGGUGGGGUAAUGGCCUACCAAGGCAACGAUGGGUAGCCGACCUGAGAGGGUGAUCGGCCACACUGGGACUGAGACACGGCCCAGACUCCUACGGGAGGCAGCAGUGGGGAAUUUUGCGCAAUGGGGGAAACCCUGACGCAGCGACGCCGCGUGGUGGAUGAAGACCCUUGGGUCGUAAACUCCUGUCAGAUGGGAAGAAAAGUGCCUGGUGAAUAGCCAG
rnacentral:rRNA from 1 species